CAGUCGCCGCGGGAAUACAGAGGGUGCAAGCGUUAAUCGGAAUUACUGGGCGUAAAGAGCUCGUAGGCGGUUUGUCGCGUCUGCUGUGAAAACUGGAGGCUCAACCUCCAGCCUGCAGUGGGUACGGGCAGACUAGAGUGCGGUAGGGGAGAUUGGAAUUCCUGGUGUAGCGGUGGAAUGCGCAGAUAUCAGGAAGAACACCGAUGGCGAAGGCAGUUCUCUGGGCCGUAACUGACGCUGAGGAGCGAAAGCGUGGGGAGCGAACAGGAUUAGAGACCCCUGUAGUCCCUGUCUCUUAUAC
rnacentral:rRNA from 1 species